rnacentral:rRNA from 2 species
GAAAGUUGAAAAGAACUUUGAAGAGAGAGUUCAACAGUACGUGAAACCGCCUAGAGGUAAACGGGUGGAUCCGCAAAGUCGGCCCGCGGAAUUCAGCUCGGAGGCUCGGCGCCGGUUGGGGGUCGGAGAUCUGAACGGACUCUUCCCCAGCCUGUUUGUCGUCGUGUCGCCGUGUGCACUUUCCGCGGGCAGAGCGCCACGACCGGUUCUCGAGCGGUCAGAAGGCGGCGAGCAAGGUGGGUGCCCGCUUCGGCGGCCACUUCUUAUAGGCUCGCCUGUCCCGAUCCGCUUGGGGACCGAGGAGCCGCCGCCGGUGUAGGCCGCUUCGCUCUCCUGGGAGGUUCGACUGGCAGAGACUGGGCAACCGUGUCUGCCGACCGCCGCCUUGGACGGACGAGGUGGGCCCGCCGGCACAGGGUCAGUGGCACAUCGGUCGGCCCUCCACCCGACCCGUCUUGAAACACGGACCAAGGAGUCUAACAUGCGCGCAAGUCGUUGGGCAGUACGAAACCCGAAGGCGAAGUGAAAGCAAGGGCCGUCUCUGACGCGCCUAGGUGGGAUCCCGGUCCCCUCGCAGGGGCUGGGCGCACCACCGGCCCGUCUCGUCCGCGUUGUCGGUGAGGCGGAGCAGGAGCGUGCACGUUGGGACCCGAAAGAUGGUGAACUAUGCCUGAGUAGGACGAAGCCAGAG